rnacentral:rRNA from 1 species
GUUGCCAGCAAGUAAAGUUGGGGACUCACAGGAGACUCCCGGGGUCAACUCGGAGGAAGGUGGGGAGGACGUCAAGUCGUCAUGCCCCUUACGCCUAGGGCUGCACACAUGCUACAAUGGUCGGUACAGAGGGCUGGUAAGCCGCGAGGUGGAGCCAAUCCCUAAAGCCGAUCUCAGUUCAGAUUGCAGGCUGCAACUCGCCUGCAUGAAGUUGGAGUUGCUAGUAAUCCCGGAUCAGCAUUGCCGGGGUGAAUACGUUCCCGGGCCUUGUACACACCGCCCGUCAAACCACGAAAGUUGGCAACACCCGAAGCCGGUGGCCUAACCGUAAGGAAGGAGCCGUCGAAGGUGGGGUCAGUGAUUGGGGUUAAGUCGUAACAAGGU